rnacentral:rRNA from 1 species
CCUACGGGUGGCAGCAGUGGGGGAUAUUGCACAAUGGGGGAAACCCUGAUGCAGCGACGCCGCGUGGGCGAAGAAGUAUUUCGGUAUGUAAAGCCCUAUCAGCAGGGAAGAAAAUGACGGUACCUGAGUAAGAAGCCCCGGCUAACUACGUGCCAGCAGCCGCGGUAAUACGUAGGGGGCAAGCGUUAUCCGGAUUUACUGGGUGUAACGGGAGCGUAGACGGCAGUGCAAGUCUGGAGUGAAAGGCGGGGGCUCAACCCCCGGACUGCUCUGGAAACUGUACGGCUGGAGUGCAGGAGAGGUAAGUGGAAUUCCUAGUGUAGCGGUGAAAUGCGUAGAUAUUAGGAGGAACACCAGUGGCGAAGGCGGCUUACUGGACUGUAACUGACGUUGAGGCUCGAAAGCGUGGGGAGCAAACAGGAUUAGAUACCCUAGUAGUC